GGAAGGAUCAUUCAUAAUAAGUGUUUUAUGGCACUUUUUAAAUCCAUAUCCACCUUGUGUGCAAUGUCAGUCGGUCUUCUUUAUGGAGAUCGGCCAAACAUCAACCUAAUUUUUUAACUCUUUGUCUGAAAAAUAUUAUGAAUAAAAUAAUUCAAAAUACAACUUUCAACAACGGAUCUCUUGGCUCUCGCAUCGAUGAAGAACGCAGCGAAAUGCGAUACGUAAUGUGAAUUGCAGAAUUCAGUGAAUCAUCGAAUCUUUGAACGCAUAUUGCGCUCUUUGGUAUUCCGAAGAGCAUGCUUGUUUGAGUAUCAGUAAACACCUCAAAACCUUUUUUUAUUUUUAAAAAACAGUUUUGGACUUGAGCAAUCCCAACACCAAUCUUUUUUAGAUCGGUGGCGGGUUGCUUGAAAUGCAGGUGCAGCUGGACAUUCUCCUGAGCUAAAAGCAUAUUUAUUUAGUCCCGUCAAACGGAUUAUUACUUUUGCUGCAGCUAAUAUAAAGGGAGUUUGACCGUUUUGGCUGACUGAUGCAGGAUUUCACAAGGGUCGGCAACGAUUCUUGUAAAACUCGAUCUCAAAUCAAGUAAGACUACCCGCUGAACUUAAGCAUAUCAA
rnacentral:rRNA from 1 species